rnacentral:lncRNA from 1 species
UUUAAAGCCACAUUGACAUAAAAGGCUAAAGAGAGAACGCCAUACAGACAGAUUCAGAUCAAACAAACCCAUGAUUUUAAUCAAAUCAAAAAGCAUGAACAUGCGACCUAUAAAGCAAAAAAAAAAAAAACAAAUAGGGCCACAUUUGGCUGAUUUUAGAGAACUAGCCAGGAAUAACAGAGAAAAUACAAUCAAGCUGUUUGUUAGACCCCAUCUCCAUCGACACAUUCCCGUUAUUGUUGUUAUUAGCCUCCUUCUCUCUGUCAUCUCUCGACCUCUUCACUGGCAAAUCACUAGCAGUAAUAAACCCAGUUUCCGCCAUAACAU